AACCCGACACACAUACACACACACACAUACACAUACACACGGAGAUGUGCACACGCACACACAAGAGGAAAAGGUCAAACUAAAGGCGAGGAGGAGACGGAAGGGAGCAGUCGCCGUUGCUGCUCGCGCGCGCCAUGACGGACGCGACCUAAUCCACUUCCUUCGUCCGGACGCUUCCGACCCCCCUUGACUUUACCAACCCCCCCUCCCGCCCUCGGAAGCACCCCCCUUCCCGGCGCGAGCGUGUCCACGCCCCCCUCCGCCACUCCCCCCUCCCGCGGGAGCGUUAUUUCGGGAACGCGCGCACGGGCGCGUGCAAGGAGGGGGGCGGGGGAACGGGAAGGGGUUCCAGGUUGGGGGGCGCUGUGACUGCAGCUGCGGCUGCACCUCCCUGUCCUGGAGAGACCCGAGAGGACUGAUGAGGGUCAUCGGAGUCCAGUGGCAAGACAAGUGAGGAUGACUGGCUAUGGCCUGGGCUGCAAUGGAUGACCUCUGCUAUCUGACCAAGCUCUGAAUGCUCUCCAGCUCCUGCUUCAGAGGGCAGAACUUGGACCAGUGGUGGAAGUUAAAAGCAGAGCUUUUAAGGAGAUACUGUCUCACAAUUUGAAGUGAGAUGAAGAAACUAAGAUUCAAAGAAGUCAAGCAGUUUAUUCAAGAUGACUUGGCUAGCAAAUGGCAGCUGGAAUUAAAACAAGUAAUAUGACUCCAACUCCAGAUACCUGCAUUGGCAAACACUUCUGCAGAGCCUGUGCCACAUUAUUCCCAUUAGGAAAAUAGUUCAGCUGAGAGUUCAAGUUAGAGGACUAGAUUUCAAAUCCUGGGUUUUCUAUUAUCUACAUGAUCUACAAGAAAGAAACUUCACAUGUCUGGACCUCAGACAUUUAUCUAAGAAAGAAAGAUUUAUACCAAUUGUUCUUUUAAGAUAUCUUUCAACACUAAAAAUAUCCAUAAUAUCAUAGAUUCAAUUAGUUAUUUUAUCAGUAUCAUUGGUGUUUUUCAUGUAUAUGACCCUGGUUCUUUUGUCCUCCACUGUACUUGAGGUUUUAAAUUCACCAAAAUUAUGUCUUUACACAAAGUAUGUAGUGAUAAUUCAGUAUCUAUUAUCAUUGACUAAUGUUAUACAGUAUUGAAACAUUUUUUAAUGUCUUAUUUUUCAUCUUUAGCAGUAAUGAUUUCUUGGUGUAUUUAAAAAUCUCUUUAAUAAAACACUAGUCUAUCAAUUGGUAGGCAUUUUUUGUACAUGGAAAUAUAUUAUCACACCUAAUUGAUUUGAAAACAUGGUUCCUACUUUUAUACAUCAGAUUAUGGACGUGAUCUAUGAUUUCACGGACUAGAAAAUUGCCAGAAAACCAUCAAAUUCAUUUUGAUGCUUUUUCUAUAAGAAACAUCUACCGUACAGCAAUGGUGUCAGACUCAGAAAAAGAACUCUAAACUGGACAUAAGGAGCUCCAUAGGCACAUAUUGACCUGGAAAUCCAGAAGUUUUAUUGUAUUUUUAUUUAUUUUGUUAAAUACUUCCAAAUUACAUUUUAAUCUGAUUCAAGUAGCUUGGAUGUGUUGUAGGUGAAAUGUGAAUGUAUCCCAUAUUUUUGACACCUUUGGUCUAAAACACUGAGAGGUUAUGUGACUCAAUCCAGAUAAGCCAGACAAUAUUUAUAAAAGUGAAAACUUGAAUUCAGAUCUUCUGGGUUUAAACCUAGGUUUCUUUCCACUAUCCUACACUAGUUCUCCAUUAUUCUUACACUUAAAAUUCUGACAAUUGACUUUUAAAGUCAUAAUAAUAAAGUAAAUUUAAGCACUCUUUCUCUCAUAGAGAAUAUGUACUUUUUGAGGUGCUUUGUUUUGAUUUGGUUUGUUUGGUUUGAUGUUUAGUUUAGUAGUCUUUCUCAUGGAAGAUUUUUCAGAAAAAUAUGAAUGUGUCAGGAUGAGAAAGCACUCAGAGGUUUUUCAUCUUCAUUGAUCGUAGUGGUAGUGGGGGGACCCACAAUAUUGAAAUACUAGAUUUCCAAAGAACCAAGUUAUAGCUGUCUUUAAAAUUUUCCAGUGUAUGGUUUAUUUAAAAGUAUUUUGUGAAAUAGGCUUUUCUUUCAGAUAUAGGUUGGAUCAGAUGUCUUCUAAGAUCUCUUUGAACUAUGAUGCUAUAACAUUCUAAUAACGUUCUCUUUCUUUUGUUUGAGAGGGAUAGUGUCCAAGUCUUUCCUUUCUUUAUUCAAAUAUAAAUAACUGAAUAUAAUAUAAUAUAUUUAUAUUAUAUAAUAUAAUAUACUUCAAAUAUAAAUAAUUGAAGGUCCUAUGUAAAAAUCCAUCAAAUUCACUUCUUGAUAGUCACUUAAAUUUUUUUUUCUUGUAGUAGAAUAUUAAGCAUAUGUCCCAGUGAUAUUGGAAUAAUAAUAAUAUUAAUAAUUUAAUAGCCUGAAUUUUGUAUAUGCAUACAUAUAAGAUGUGAAAAGCUUAUAUUUUUUCAUGUAUCCAUAUGUAUUACCAACUCCAUACUUUAUUGAUUCGUGCAUAAGAUAAAUGUUUUUCUAAGCAAAAGAGGUUGAAUUUUUUCAUUAAAGCUGGUAUGCUGUG